rnacentral:rRNA from 1 species
AGAUUGAACGCUGGCGGCAUGCCUUACACAUGCAAGUCGAACGCGAAAGCGGAGCAAUCCGCAAGUAGAGUGGCGAACGGGUGAGUAAUACAUCGGAACAUUUCCAGUAGCGGGGGAUAACCUGUCGAAAGAUAGGCUAAUACCGCAUACGACCUACGGGUGAAAGCGGAGGACUCUUGGGUAACUGAGGGCUUCGCACUAUUGGAGUGGCCGAUGUCGGAUUAGCUAGUUGGUGGGGUAAAGCCCACCAAGGCUACGAUCCGUAGCUGGUCUGAGAGGACGAUCAGCCACACUGGAACUGAGACACGGUCCAGACUCCUACGGGAGCAGCAGUGGGGAAUUUGGACAAUGGGCGCAAGCCUGAUCCAGCCAUGCCGCGUGAGUGAAGAAGGUCCUU